UGCAUUCACUACUGUAAGUUGCUCUGGAUAAGAGCGUCUGCUAACGGACUAAAA
rfam:Salmo salar isolate Sally breed double haploid chromosome ssa01, whole genome shotgun sequence.